GCAGUUGUAGCUCAGUGGUAGAGUUCUUGCCUAGCAUGCUUGAGGCUUUGGGUUCCAUCCCCAGCACUGCA
rnacentral:tRNA from 1 species